AUACGUAGGUGGCGAGCGUUAUCCGGAAUUACUGGGUGUAAAGGGCGCGUAGGCGGCUUUGCAAGUCAGUAGUGGAAGUCCAUUUUUCAAGGAUGGAAGUGCUACAGAAACUGCGGAGCUUGAGUGCAGGAGAGGUUAUCGGAAUUCCCGGUGUAGCGGUGAAAUGCGUAGAGAUCGGGAGGAACACCAGUGGCGAAGGCGGGUAACUGGACUGCAACUGACGCUGAGGCGCGAAAGUGUGAGGAGCAAACAGGAUUAGAUACCCUGGUAGUCCACACUGUAAACGAUGAAUGCUAGGUGUAGGAGGUAUCGACCCCUUCUGUGCCGCAGUAAACACAGUAAGCAUUCCGCCUGGGGAGUACGGUCGCAAGAUUAAAACUCAAAGGAAUUGACGGGG
rnacentral:rRNA from 1 species